CUUCACCGACCCCAACAGCACCGGCCGCCCCCCGGCCCGGUCCUGACCAUAGGUGGCCAGCAGGGCCUGCGCCUC
rfam:Streptomyces sparsogenes DSM 40356 contig00385, whole genome shotgun sequence.